rnacentral:rRNA from 1 species
GACGAACGCUGGCGGCGUGCUUAACACAUGCAAGUCGAACGGAAGGGCCCUGCUUGCAGGGUACUCGAGUGGCGAACGGGUGAGUAACACGUGGGUGAUCUGCCCUGCACUUCGGGAUAAGCCUGGGAAACUGGGUCUAAUACCGGAUAUGACCUUCCAUGUAGUGUGGGGGGUGGAAAGAUUUAUCGGUGUGGGAUGAGCCCGCGGCCUAUCAGCUUGUUGGUGGGGUAAUGGCCUACCAAGGCGUGACGGGUAGCCGGCCUGAGAGGGUGGACGGCCACAUUGGGACUGAGAUACGGCCCAGACUCCUACGGGAGGCAGCAGUGGGGAAUAUUGCACAAUGGGCGGAAGCCUUAUGCAGCGACGCCGCGUGGGGGAUGACGGCCUUCGGGUUGUAAACCUCUUUCGACAGGGACGAAGCUUCGGUGACGGUACCUGUAUAAGAAGCACCGGCUAACUACGUG